GACGAACGCUGGCGGCGUGCUUUACACAUGCAAGUCGAACGAUGAAGCCGGAGCUUGCUCUGGUGAAUUAGUGGCGAACGGGUGAGUAACACGUGAGUAACCUGCCCUUGACUCUGGGAUAACUGCGGGAAACUGUAGCUAAUACCGGAUACGACCCUCGGAGGCAUCUCCUGGGGGUGGAAAGAAUUUCGGUCAAGGAUGGACUCGCGGCCUAUCAGCUAGUUGGUGAGGUAAAGGCUCACCAAGGUGACGACGGGUAGCCGGCCUGAGAGGGUGACAGGCCACACUGGGACAGGGACACGGCCCAGAAGCCUACGGGGGGCAGCAGUGGGGAAUAUUGAACAAUGGGCGCAAGCCUGAUGCAGCAGCGCGGCGUGAGGGAUGACGGGCUUCGGGUUGUAAACCUCUUUUAGCAGGGAAGAAGCGAAAGUGACGGUACCUGCAGAAAAAGCACCGGCUAACUACGUGCCAGCCGCCGCGGUAA
rnacentral:rRNA from 1 species